rnacentral:lncRNA from 1 species
CAUUUGCAGAGACCUAUACUAGGUGCUGGGAGAGAGUUCUUCCAUCAUGGAACUCAGACCAGCAAGGGGAAAAAUUUGAAUAUAGGUAUCUCUGAAAACAACAAUAAGAAAUGAAUGCAUAAAUGAAAGUCAAGUGAUAUCCAACAGGAAAAAGGCAUUUUGGAAAUAAAUAUUUGAUGACUUUAAAUAUAUCGAUUUUCUUUGCUGUGAAAGGGAAUUUUUUGGUUCCCUUUGCCUAUUUUAAGUUAAUCAAUCAGGAACUUAAAGUAUGCCUACUUAACACUUAGUCACUAACAAAGAAAGUUCAUGCCCUAAUAGACCACAAGCAUUGCCUCUCACCAUCCCAGCAGUGCUAGGCAAAUUGAAAGACUGUGAUUGAUUCCUGAGAUGUGAUGAGGAGAGCUGAUGGGUGGAGAAAAUUGUAUAUAAGCAGGAGCUUGAGAGAGAUCUGUUCUCUUCAUUCUUGGUGGCUCUUAGCCUCUGGAGCAUGAGCUCUUCAUUCUUGGUGGUUUUGGCAUGUGUACACUGAAGGUUCUCAGCGGUUUUUAGCGUCUUUUGGUUCUUUGGAUUUCAGCUUCCUGAUCGGGGCUUUGGAUUCUCAUGAAGAUUUGGCUUCCUACAUUGGAGGCUCAGGCUGAAGAGGGACACUUACUCGGGUGUAACUCUUGCCUCCCUGGCAUGAGAGAUUGCCUUUUGCAGCUCAGCCUCUUCAGCAUCAGUUUUUGGUUGUUGGAAUGCCUGCCUGGAGAUACUCUCAUGGACUGAGGAUAAGUUGAAGCUCCCAGAAGGAUUUCCUUUGCUCCAGGACACUCAGCUGGUAAGCAGGAGAGUUCUGAUUCAACAAUCAGCAGAAUGUAUAACUUGGAUAAUAAAGCAUCCCAUGGAAGGACCUGGAUGGAAUCUUGGAUCUGUCAACUAUUUGCUGUAUGACCUUAGUUGGCUGUCACUGUCCAAGAAAACUUCCACAGCACCGAAAAGAGGAAGCAGGGGAGACUGUGGCAUAGAGUCAACCUGUAUGGAUUGAGAUCUUGGUUCUGCUAGAGAGGCUGUGGUGCUGCAAGUGACAUGGGAGGGAGCAGAGGGUAAGUGAUUUGGG